rnacentral:rRNA from 1 species
ACGCUGGCGGCGUGCCUAAUACAUGCAAGUCGAGCGAACAGACGAGGAGCUUGCUCCUCUGACGUUAGCGGCGGACGGGUGAGUAACACGUGGAUAACCUACCUAUAAGACUGGGAUAACUUCGGGAAACCGGAGCUAAUACCGGAUAACAUGUUGAACCGCAUGGUUCAACAGUGAAAGACGGUCUUGCUGUCACUUAUAGAUGGAUCCGCGCCGCAUUAGCUAGUUGGUAAGGUAACGGCUUACCAAGGCAACGAUGCGUAGCCGACCUGAGAGGGUGAUCGGCCACACUGGAACUGAGACACGGUCCAGACUCCUACGGGAGGCAGCAGUAGGGAAUCUUCCGCAAUGGGCGAAAGCCUGACGGAGCAACGCCGCGUGAGUGAAGAAGGUCUUCGGAUCGUAAAACUCUGUUAUUAGGGAAGAACAAAUGUGUAAGUAACUAUGCACGUCUUGACGGUACCUAAUCAGAAAGCCACGGCUAACUACGUGCCAGCAGCCGCGGUAAUACGUAGGUGGCAAGCGUUAUCCGGAAUUAUUGGGCGUAAAGCGCGCGUAGGCGGUUUUUUAAGUCUGAUGUGAAAGCCCACGGCUCAACCGUGGAGGGUCAUUGGAAACUGGAAAACUUGAGUGCAGAAGAGGAAAGUGGAAUUCCAUGUGUAGCGGUGAAAUGCGCAGAGAUAUGGAGGAACACCAGUGGCGAAGGCGACUUUCUGGUCUGUAACUGACGCUGAUGUGCGAAAGCGUGGGGAUCAAACAGGAUUAGAUACCCUGGUAGUCCACGCCGUAAACGAUGAGUGCUAAGUGUUAGGGGGUUUCCGCCCCUUAGUGCUGCAGCUAACGCAUAAGCACUCCGC